rnacentral:rRNA from 1 species
UACGUAGGUGGCAAGCGUUGUCCGGAUUUACUGGGCGUAAAGAGCGCGCAGGCGGUCGUUCAAGUCGCGUGUGAAAGCCCCCGGCUCAACUGGGGAGGGUCACGCGAUACUGAUCGACUCGAAGGCAGGAGAGGGUAGUGGAAUUCCCGGUGUAGUGGUGGAAUGCGCAGAUAUCAGGAAGAACACCCGUGGCGAAGGCGGGUCUCUGGGCCGUAACUGACGCUGAGGAGCGAAAGCGUGGGGAGCGAACAGG